rnacentral:rRNA from 1 species
CGGACGGGUGAGUAACGCGUGGGUAACCUGCCUCAUACAGGGGGAUAACAGUUAGAAAUGACUGCUAAUACCGCAUAAGACCACAGCACCGCAUGGUGCAGGGGUAAAAACUCCGGUGGUAUGAGAUGGACCCGCGUCUGAUUAGGUAGUUGGUGAGGUAACGGCCCACCAAGCCGACGAUCAGUAGCCGACCUGAGAGGGUGACCGGCCACAUUGGGACUGAGACACGGCCCAG